UGUGUGUUACAAGUGUCACACGGAACUGCCGGUCAUAAACCGGAGGAAGGUGGGGAUGACGUCAAGUCAGCAUGGCCUUUAUAUCCUGGGCUACACACACGCUACAAUGGAAGGGACAAUAGGUUGCGAAGCCGCGAGGCGGAGCCAAUCCAGCAAAACUUCCCUCAGUUCAGAUUGCAGGCUGCAACUCGCCUGCAUGAAGUUGGAGUUGCUAGUAAACGCAGGUCAGCCAUACUGCGUUGAAUACGUUCCCGGGGCUU
rnacentral:rRNA from 1 species